UGGGGAAUAUUGGACAAUGGGCGCAAGCCUGAUCCAGCAAUGCCGCGUGUGUGAAGAAGGCCUUCGGGUUGUAAAGCACUUUUAUCAGGAGCGAAACGCUGUCGGCUAAUACCCGGCGGAACUGACGGUACCUGAGGAAUAAGCACCGGCUAACUUCGUGCCAGCAGCCGCGGUAAUACGAAGGGUGCAAGCGUUAAUCGGAAUUACUGGGCGUAAAGCGUGCGUAGGCGGUUUCUUAAGUCUGCCGUGAAAUCCCCGGGCUCAACCUGGGAAUGGCAGUGGAUACUGGGAGGCUAGAGUGUGUCAGAGGGUGGUGGAAUUCCCGGUGUAGCGGUGAAAUGCGUAGAGAUCGGGAGGAACAUCAGUGGCGAAGGCGGCCACCUGGGACAACACUGACGCUGAGGCACGAAAGCGUGGGGAGCAAACAGGAUUAGAUACCCUGGUAGUCCACGCCCUAAACGAUGCGAACUGGAUGUUGGUCUCAACUCGGAGAUCAGUGUCGAAGCUAACGCGUUAAGUUCGCCGCCUGGGGAGUACGGUCGCAAGACUGAAACUCAAAGGAAUUGACGGGGUCAUAGCUGUUUCCUG
rnacentral:rRNA from 1 species